AUGGCUACGUGCCCCGGGCUGUGAUGCUGCCUCUGGACACUGACAUCUAUGAUGACGUUGAGAUUUAUGGCUGAGCCAACCACGCUGAGGCCUGAGGCACAGGACAGCACCACAGAGACCCCAAGGGCUGAAACACGAAGAGCACCAGACACCAG